CCUACGGGAGGCAGCAGUGAGGAAUAUUGGUCAAUGGACGAGAGUCUGAACCAGCCAAGUAGCGUGAAGGAUGACUGCCCUAUGGGUUGUAAACUUCUUUUAUAUGGGAAUAAAAUGUUCCACGUGUGGGAUUUUGUAUGUACCAUAUGAAUAAGGAUCGGCUAACUCCGUGCCAGCAGCCGCGGUAAUACGGAGGAUCCGAGCGUUAUCCGGAUUUAUUGGGGUUAAAGGGAGCGUAGGUGGAUUGUUAAGUCAGUGGUGAAAGUUUGCGGCUCAACCGUAAAAUUGCAGUUGAAACUGGCAGUCUUGAGUACAGGAGAGGUGGGCGGAAUUCGUGGUGUAGCGGUGAAAUGCUUAGAUAUCACGAAGAACUCCGAUCGCGAAGGCAGUUCACUGGACUGCAACUGACACUGAGGCUCGAAAGUGUGGGUAUCAAACAGGAUUAGAUACCCGAGUAGUC
rnacentral:rRNA from 1 species